CCUACGGGAGGCAGCAGUGAGGAAUAUUGGACAAUGGGCGCAAGCCUGAUCCAGCCAUGCCGCGUGCAGGAUGACGGUCCUAUGGAUUGUAAACUGCUUUUGCACAGGAAGAAACAACGCUACGUGUAGCGUCUUGACGGUACUGUGAGAAUAAGGAUCGGCUAACUCCGUGCCAGCAGCCGCGGUAAUACGGAGGAUCCAAGCGUUAUCCGGAAUCAUUGGGUUUAAAGGGUCCGUAGGCGGUUUAGUAAGUCAGUGGUGAAAGCCCAUCGCUCAACGGUGGAACGGCCAUUGAUACUGCUAGACUUGAAUUAUUAGGAAGUAACUAGAAUAUGUAGUGUAGCGGUGAAAUGCUUAGAGAUUACAUGGAAUACCAAUUGCGAAGGCAGGUUACUACUAAUGGAUUGACGCUGAUGGACGAAAGCGUGGGUAGCGAACAGGAUUAGAUACCCUGGUAGUCCACGCCGUAAACGAUGGAUACUAGCUGUUGGGAGCGAUCUCAGUGGCUAAGCGAAAGUGAUAAGUAUCCCACCUGGGGAGUACGUUCGCAAGAAUGAAACCUUAAAGGAAUUGACGG
rnacentral:rRNA from 1 species